ACGCUCGACACCUACGGGGGGCAGCAGUGGGGAAUAUUGCACAAUGGGGGAAACCCUGAUGCAGCGACGCCGCGUGAGCGAAGAAGUAUUUCGGUAUGUAAAGCUCUAUCAGCAGGGAAGAAACUGACGGUACCUGACUAAGAAGCACCGGCUAAAUACGUGCCUGCAGCCGCGGUAAUCUGAGGCGGGCUGGCAAGGC
rnacentral:rRNA from 1 species